UACGGAGGGGGCUAGCGUUGUUCGGAAUCACUGGGCGUAAAGGGAGCGUAGGCGGCGUGGUAAGUCAGAUGUGAAAUCCCCGGGGCUCAACCCCGGAACUGCAUCCGAUACUGCCGUGCUAGAGGAUUGGAGAGGUAGCUGGAAUUCUUGGUGUAGCAGUGAAAUGCGUGGAGAUCAAGAGGAACACUCGUGGCGAAAGCGAGCUACUGGACAAUAUCUGACGUGAGGCUCGAAGGCCAGGGUAGCGAAAGGG
rnacentral:rRNA from 1 species